GGCCGCAUGUCUAAUCAGACCGCCACAGGUCCGUAUGCGUGUCGCCCACCGAGCCUGGCGUGGUUAGCAGGGUCACUCGGCCUCGCGGUCGCCUGCCGACCAGACAGGCGCGACCAGCCAGCCGGCAUCCACCCUCACGACUGGGAGGGCGGGGCGCCGCGGGGCCUGCCUGCACGCCCCGCCACCCGCCACAUCGCAGCUGUGAUUAUGAAGGAUACAGUGUUUACGUGUACUGGAACUCUGCUCGCACGCCCUCCGACCGCUCGAAGCGCCUGUUUUAGCUUGUGGAAGAUUAGAUUGAAGGAGUGUUUUCAAAGGUACUGUGAUCGGGGAUCCUUCUCCUUCUGGAGACUUCUCUGGGAGUCGGGUGAUAACUAAGACUUUUGGUAUUUCAUUGUAUACAUUUUAUUUACUCACAUAUUGUCAGAGCUCUAUGAUACAUCCUUAGGCUGGGGCGGUGUCACACAUACUGACUCAUUAACCGCUCCCGCCUUAUGUAAGCGUAUCCAGUCAGGAGGGUGAGAGGUUGAGCAUCGCGACAAUGAGGUUGCAAUUCAUAUACAUACAAGCACCUCAUUAACCGCACCGAGUAUGUAUCACUUAGUCGUACAGUUCAGUGCCUGCAAGACACGGAAAAGGUACGUACGACUAGGAUCACAUCACCCCCUUUUUACUUUUAAUGAAAUGUAUACAAUAUUUUUUAUUUUAUAGAGGAAACAACCUACACCUUGCACUAAUAACUAGGGGUACUGGUAAACCUUCGGCUUGAUGCUGCCGCGGCGGGCGCUACCAUAGGCAGAGCAACAUCCGCGACUGCACGAGGUUGCACUUAGUGGCGUCCGUCACAGGAAUCGGGUAGCCAUCAGGCCCAACAGUUGGGGGCAAGCAGGAAAAGCAAGUUUCCAUGGUCGCCAUAAAUUCAUCGACGCCAUAAUCUUCGGAAUCUCCACUAAAAUUUUCGACUGCCGUGAGGCAACUCGCAGAAGCCAUCUCUGCCUCUUCUCGCUGCUGUUGCAGCUUAUACCGAGCUAUUUUAGCUGCUUUUUCCUUAGCUAAACGACGCAGCUCCUGCACUUCCGCCUCCCACGCUUGUUGCGCUGUGUCUAUGAACGUGGCAGGGUUUGAGAACUCAGUAUUACCAGCGUACCGAAAAAGCGCGCGUAAAGAGAUAUGCUCGUUGUCAUCCCCUUUUGGCGCCUCAGAUGCUCGUAAGGCAAGAAUUAAGUCAGAUUCAAU